CGUUUUCAAGAUCAUAGUACUCCGGAAUACUUUUCACUGGAAAUACUUCUCUCUCUCUCUCUUUAUUCUCUUCCUGGAAAGGAAAAAAAGGAGGGAAAAAGGAGAAAGAAUUCUCAUUUCUGAAGAAGGGCUUAGAAGAAAUUAAAAGGGAUCACCCACAUAGAGAUGGCAAGAGUUGCGCAGGCAUGGAUGGAAGAAGUUGCACCAGCCCUCUACAUCUCUCCCCACCAAAGAUCAUCUAAUUCUCUGAAGAGGCUAGAGACGAUCGCCGAGGAGGACAUACCGAAUGGGUUCAAAGCUCC